GAUGAACGCUGGCGGCGUGCCUAAUACAUGCAAGUCGAGCGAACAGACGAGGAGCUUGCUCCUCUGACGUUAGCGGCGGACGGGUGAGUAACACGUGGAUAACCUACCUUUAAGACUGGGAUAACUUCGGGAAACCGGAGCUAAUACCGGAUAAUAUAUUGAACCGCAUGGUUCAAUAGUGAAAGACGGUUUUGUUGUUACUUAUAGAUGCAUCCGCGCCUCAUUUGCUAGUUGGUAAGGUAACGGCUUACCAAGGCAACGAUGCGUAGCCGACCUGAGAGGUGGAUGGGCCACACUGGAACUGAAACACGGCCCAGACUCCUACGGGGGGCAGCGUAAGGGAAUCUUCCGCAAGGGGCGAAGUCCGAACGGAGCAACGCCGCGUGAGUAAUGAGGGUCUUCGGAUCGUAAAACUCUGUUAUUAGGGAAGAACAAAGGUGUAAGUAACUAUGCACGUCUUGACGGUACCUAAUCAGAAAGCCACGGCUAACUACGUG
rnacentral:rRNA from 1 species